AUGGUUGGAGAGGAACCAGAGAGGUCAGAGGCUGCCCACCCUGAGAGUGAGGAGGAAGAUGUAGGCUGUGAGGGAGAGAGUCAGGAGCAAAAAGAGGGACAUCUUCUGUCAUGUGCACCGUGUGCACUACCGUCAGAUAUCAGCAAGUGCAAGGAUGACCCACCUACUCAGCCUCAUUUGAGGACAUUUCCAGUGACAUUAAUAGGAGACAGAAGAUGCAGCUUUCAGCCAAGCUGGUAUGAAAGUCAUCCUUGGGUUGAAUAUUCUGUUACUAUGGACUCUACUUAUUGUCAUGCAUGCAGACAUUUUAGCCCACCAAGUAGCGCAGGAAGUGUGUUUGACUCACCAUGUGGAUUUAGGAACUGGAAAAAAGCAACUGAGAGAGGAGGGGUUUUCAGUACAUGCAAAGUCUUAAAGGCAUAAGGAUUCAAUGAUAGCGUGGAGGGACUACCAGAGGGCUGUGGAAGCUAAUACAACAUUGGCUAAUAUACUCGACAAGGAACACAGUAAAAGGUUAAAGAAAAUCGUGAGUAUAUCAAAACAAUUGGUGAAGUGAUUAUGCUUACGUGUGUGUGUGUGUGUGUGUGUGUGUGUGUGUGUGUGUGUGUUGACUACAAAAAGCAAAUUGUAUUGUGCAGAUAUUUUAUUUGUUUGAAUGUUUAUUUUUCAUAUGUACAGUUCAUAUAAUCUUCAAAUAAAGUCACAAACUAUAAUAAUCAACUAGAAUUGUUUUUUUACUCAAGUCUCAUGUUACUGUGAAGCAUUCAGAAUUGUUAUCUGAGUACCAUAAAAACAUGCCAGUUUUACUUUCACAAGUAAACCAUUACUGCAUUUGCUGUAAUAGUUUACUUGUUCAUUGUCUUUAAUUAUGAUUUUUUUUCUUGCGCCCCCAUGAAAAAAUACUGGCCCCACUGUGGCCCCCCUGGAAAAUUUGUUCUAGAACCGCCCCUGCUCGGGACAAUCUGUCUUCUCGUUCUUCCCAUGUUAUAUGUUAACAGCUGGAUUCCAGAUCCAGACGGGAACAUUUGUGUGUUUUGUGCUCUAUGACCAAACGAUUAAGUUCAUGAAGUUUAAUGAAAUAUUAAACUAUUACUACAAAGCUGGUUGUAAAUCAUCAGAUGUUCGUGUUAUCAUAAAAACACAAUAAUGUUCCUCAGAGAGACACUUUGUAUUUACAUUCAUUCGUCAUUUUAGCCACUAUUUUAUUCUGUAAAAGCUGUGAAUACACACAUAGGAGCUACCUAAGAGCACAGGGGAAUAACUGUUCAGUCUGAACUCUGAUGUCACUAGAAUCACAUUAACCCUUCCGCUGUCUUUAUGGGUGACCCCCUGAGGAAAGUUGACCAUUGAGCAUUGGACCAUUGGUUUAUCCCUUGGAUCCGCGUGGCAGGGGUGAGGAGUGAGCACCACCUCACCCCUGCCACGUGGAUCCAAGGGAUAAACCAUCAACCCUGCUCAAUGGUCAACUUUCCUCGGAGGGUCACCCAUAAAGACAGCGGAAGGGUUAAUGUGAUUUUAUUAGUGAAGCACACGGGGAUGUUCUUCUGUGGUAUGUAACUGUUACAUACUAACAUGACUGGAGACAAACGCAGUAACAGGUGUGUAAGUGUUUAACAGAUUUAGAUUGAGAAUGACUGCGACGGCACUUCAGCGCAGACAAAGUUAAGUUCAAGUCAAAGUGUCCAGAAAAAGUUUAAAUGCUUAAAACAUGUCGAAAUUUCCAGAUUUAAGACAAACUGCUGUAGUAAAUGGUGCAAGAAGUAAGCCCAAUGGAUGCGUUAAAAGUAGUAAAUAGAUUUAAAAAGACAAACUCGUUAGAUUUUCAAGAGAUAGACGCGUCUCUCAUCGUCUGGCUCCUAAGAAAUGAAAAUAGCAAAAGUUAUUCCUAAUUAGGAAAGUGCUGAUAAGCAAUAAGCUUGCAACUACAGACCUACCUCUUUACUAGCGCAGCUCUCAAAGACACUAGAGAAACUUUUUGUAAUUAGACGAGAAGCAUGUAUCAACAAGUCCGACCUUUUAAAUGACCAUCAGUAUGGGUUUAGGAAGAAUCGUUCAACUUUACUGGCAGUUAUGAAACUAGCAGCACGUACUGCAUCAGCAGCUGACCCAAAACGGAUUUGAGCAAGGCAUUUUACAGACCUGUGUAUCUCAUGAACCUGUAGAUGUAUAACCCAAUGAGUUGUGUGAAGAAAUUAACUGAUACAACUCACCAUACACACCUGCUCCAAAAAUGCAAACAUUAUGUAGCCUAGUGAACUAGACCAAAUUAUUGCUUUGUAAAGUUUGGUCUAGGCAUGCUCCAUUGGAACCUCCACAGCUCCUACCAGGACUCUGGCUAGCCAAUCACAGCUCUCUAGAGGGGUUUCAAACACAUAAAGAGCUGUGAUUGGUCCAUAAUGGUGGGCCAAUCAUAGUGCUCUAUCUGCUGAGUGAACAAAUCACAGAGCUUUAUCUGCUUUGUGGGCCAAUCAGGGCACUCUAUAUGCCUGGUGGGUGGGAUGAUGCAACAGAGUGAAACAAGAGUAUGUCACAUUCUUUGUCCAGUGGAAUGCGGAGAUCAUUUGAAAGACAACGGUAGAACCCGCCCCACAACCGAGAGCCGUCAAUGGAGCGUGGCCAGACUAAAUAAUACAUUUAUUUAGUCUGGCUUGCCAGGCUAAACAUUAUGGCCUUUGUGGAAAAACAAAUCAAUGGCUUCCAAGUUAUGUCAGGUGUCCAAAGACGUUGCUAUACUCUAGAAAACAAAGGAUGUCAUUUAAAAAAUAGUUUUUUUUUUCAUUUGCUGUUUUUUCAGUUCUGCCUUAUUUGUCACAUUGUGCUGAAAUCUGGGGAGAAUAUGCACAAAGACUCUAUUUAAAUGACAAAAAAAGGCCAUUAGAAUUGUUAAAGUGGGACAACGUACACCAUCGUCUCUCAAUCCUCGUCCUGUAGGACAGUUAUCCAGCAGGUUUUAGUUGUUUCUCUGCUUUAACACACUCGAUUCUGUUGAUUUGUCUUGUGUUUACCUCCAGAAGUGUUUUCUACAGCCCUGUAGAUCAUAGACACGUGAACAAUCCAUUAAACUGUAAUCACAGGAACAUCAAGCUACUAGUAGAUGGUCUUCUAGCCUUUGGAUACUUCAAGGUGGUCUUCCAGCCAGAAACGUGGCAUUAGAGACUCCAGCAACCAUGGUCAAGUGUUUACCUGGGGACAUCUUACCUGAAACUGCUGGCUAAGGAGAAGCGUAAAUACAGUAAUGUCACUUCCCCAUUGACAUUGGAUGUGCUACUACUAGUUUACCCAUUUAGUUAUAGAUUCACUAGGAUAAAUACAAUAAAGUUUGUCUCUCACUAAAUAGAAUAUUUACUAAGAAAUCACAAUGUAACCAUAGAAACACUACUUGGUGUGUGUGUGUGUGUGUGUGUGCGCGCGCGUGUGUGU
rnacentral:lncRNA from 1 species